CUAACUUCGUAUUUUGUCUUUGUGGAUUAUUCUCUGGCUGUUGACUAUCAAAAUGUACGAACCCAGUCAGGCUCAAGAAAAUGGGAGUCAUAGUGAACAGGAUUCUAACGAAAGAUUAGGACCUAUCGUGGAAGGCACACACCUUUCCUACAUAGAGCAUGCAUGUGUGAAGAUUCCAGAGGAGCUCGGCACAUGGUACGGGUCAAAGGUCACAAGGGUGGACCUCAGCUUCAACCAGAUCACAACUUUGAAGGGUUUGGAGAGAUUCCCUCAGCUUGAGGAGCUGGUGAUGGACAACAACGCUCUGGAUGAUUCUCUUCACGUUCCUCUCAUGCCCCACCUUCAUACACUGCACAUGAACAAAAACACAAUAUCAGAUAUCAACAUUCUAGUGGAGAAACUUCAGAUGUCAGUUCCCUCUCUCACAUUCCUCAGUCUCCUUGGUAACGAAGCUUGCCCUAAUGAGCUCUCGAGCUCGGAGAAAGAUGAAGAAGACUAUCAAAGAUACAGAUAUUUUGUAAUCUACAGUAUUCCUACCUUGAGGUUUCUCGACCACAGAGCAGUAUCAGUGAAAGAGAGAAAUGAAGCCAAGAGAAUAGGUGCACUGAUGAAGGUAGCCAGACCUGCUGAUGUGGAUGAUGCGGAGGAUGCCUUAUCUUCCAAUUCCACUCUCUAUUCUCCUCUGCCAUCACAAGCAAGAAAUACAGAUGGCAAUCCUCAAGGUACGUAUGGACGCUGCAAAUAUGUCUACUAUGGCCGCCACUCAGAAGGAAACAGGUUCAUCCGUAACAACGACCUAUGAUCCAUUGACCUUUGCAUCAGGUGACGACCUUUGACCCCCAACACAUCCAUAGAGGUCAAGAGACCACUCGGUUAUCAACAACUUUUGGAUAAAAAGGAAUUAACAUCUUAUGCUUAUUUUCUUAAGGACUCUAAGGUUCUUUUAUACAUUCUGUUGCGAUCUGAGCCAUAUUUUGAAGCAUUUUCAAGCAACAUUUUUAAUAAUAACUGAAUAAUUCUAACCUGUUGUUGAUUUUCAAACAUUUAUAAUGAGAAUUCAAACCCGUCAUUGUUACAUGUUAAAACCCAUUGUGGACCACCCUCGGACAAGAAAUAAAAGUUAUCUGUAAUUAAAGACGUAUAAUAAAGAGUCUUGUUUUAUACAUACAGAUAUGAUGUACUUAAUGCGGUGAAUUGCCAUUUGGUCUACAGCCAGUUAGUCUAAUUCCCAUUUCGUCUACUAUCCAUAUGGUCCAAUAAUCAUUUAAAGAGAAGGUUGAG